AAGAAAUUGAUUUAAAUGAUCAAAAUUAUCGAGUAAACAUGAAUAAAGGGGACACAGGAGGACCCCAGGGAACCUUUAAGGCCCCUAAGGAAGAAGAAAGCUCAUUUAACGAAGAACAUAUUCCAAGAAGGCCGAUGAUCGCAAUCAUCAUUUUUACCAGCAUAAAAGAUUGACAAGGUAUAUAAAACAAACUUUUAUUCCAUGAACUUAUUACAACAUAAGAAAAAUCUUUAAUCAGAUCUUUCUUUAUACUUACAUACACACUAUUAUUACUUUUCCCUAGCGGGAGAAAGUACUCACUCACUCAUUGAAGAAGAUACCUAACAAUUUUCUAGGAAAGAACAUAUUUCAGAGAAAAUGUAGUCUCUUCUAAGUUUUUCUAUCUCUCCUUUAUAGAAGUAAGG
rnacentral:lncRNA from 1 species